rnacentral:rRNA from 1 species
ACGGAAGGCAGCAGUGGGGAAUAUUGCACAAUGGGCGCGAGCUUGAUGCAGCGAUGCCGCGUGAGGGAAGAAGGUUUUCGGAUUGUAAACCUCUGUCAACAGGGACGAAAAUGACGGUACCUGUGAAGGAAGCUCCGGCUAACUACGUGCCAGCAGCCGCAGUAAUACGUAGGGAGCAAGCGUUAUCCGGAAUUACUGGGUGUAAAGGGAGUGUAGGCGGGACUGUAAGUCAGAUGUGAAAUAUGCCGGCUCAACUGGCAGACUGCAUUUGAAACUGCGGUUCUUGAGUGAAGUAGAGGUAAGCGGAAUUCCUAGUGUAGCGGUGAAAUGCGUAGAUAUUAGGAGGAACAUCAGUGGCGAAGGCGGCUUACUGGGCUUUAACUGACGCUGAGGCUCGAAAGCGUGGGGAGCAAACAGGAUUAGAUACCCUGGUA